rnacentral:misc_RNA from 1 species
GAUGAAGAACGUAGCGAAAUGCGAUAAGUAAUGUGAAUUGCAGAAUUCAGUGAAUCAUCGAAUCUUUGAACGCACAUUGCGCCCUCUGGUAUUCCGGGGGGCAUGCCUGUUCGAGCGUCAUUAUAACCACUCAAGCUCUCGCUUGGUAUUGGGGUUCGCGGUUCCGCGGCCCCUAAAAUCAGUAGCGGUGCCUGUCGGCUCUACGCGUAGUAAUACUCCUCGCGAUUGAGUCCGGUAGGUCUACUUGCCAGCAACCCCCAAUUUUUACAGGUUGACCUCGGAUCAGGUAGGGAUACCCGCUGAACUUAAGCAUAUCAAUAAGCGGAGGA